rnacentral:lncRNA from 1 species
GGUGGGGUGGCUUGCAGUUUCAAGUAGGGGAGGAAGGAGAUGUGAAGGGGAUGGUGGUUCGUGCAUGGCUAGUGGAGAGGAAGGGACAGGGUCGGGAUGUUGGGGAGAAAGGAAGAAGGGAAAGCAGUCGUGGGUACUCGACGAAGGUGAAGGAGAAGAGGAGGACGCCUAUGGGAAAUUGUUCGAAGGGGGGAAGCGGGGAUAAGGGCUGAGGCGUGAGGCGAGGAAGUUGCGACGAGGAUGGGGGCAUGUUGGUCGUGUGGGAGUGGCUGGAGUUGUAAGGGGAAGGCUGAUGACGACUAGGGUUAAAGGGUGAUAAUUUGGGAAAGAUGAAAGUAAAAAAAAGUUCGGGUUUAAGGGUUAAAAAUGGGUGACACGAUCUGUAAGGGCUUCUGUU